GUUGAACGCUGGCGGCAGGCCUAACACAUGCAAGUCGAACGAGUGGCGGAGGGGUGAGUAGUGUAUGGACAACUGCGCGAUGGAGGGGGAUAAGUACUGGAAACGGUAGCUAAUACCGCAUACCAUCGGAUGUGCCCAGGUGGGAUUAGCUAGUGGGUGGGGUAACGGCUCACAUAGGCGACGAUGCCUAGCUGGCCUGAGAGGCUGACCAGCCACACUGGAACUGAGACACGGCCCAGACUCCUACGGGAGGCAGCAGUGGGGAAUAUUGGACAAUGGGCGAAAGUCUGAUGGAGCCAUGCCGCGUGUAUGAAGAAGGCUUUCGGGUUGUAAAGUACUUUCUGCGGGGAGGCGGUAUUCACAGAGAAAGCACCGGCUAACUCCGUGCCAGCAGCCGCGGUAAUAC
rnacentral:rRNA from 1 species